rnacentral:rRNA from 1 species
UACAGAGGGUGCAAACGUUGUUCGGAAUUACUGGGCGUAAAGCGUGUGUAGGCGCUUCGUAGGUCGGAUGUGAAAGCUCUCGGCUCAACCGGGAAAGUGCAUUCGAAACCACGAGCUUGAGUGUCGGAGAGGAAGGCGGAAUUGUCGGUGUAGAGGUGAAAUUCGUAGAUAUCGACAGGAACACCUGUGGCGAAAGCGGCCUUCUGGACGAACACUGACGCUGAGACACGAAAGCGUGGGGAACAAACAGG